rnacentral:rRNA from 1 species
UACGAAGGGGGCUAGCGUUGCUCGGAAUCACUGGGCUUAAAGGGCGCGUAGGCGGGCGGCCAAGUCAGAGGUGAAAGCCCCCAGCUCAACUGGGGAAGUGCCUUUGAUACUGGUCGUCUCGAGGGAGAUAGGGGCGUGCGGAACUUCCGGUGGAGCGGUGAAAUGCGUAGAUAUCGGAAGGAACACCGGUGGCGAAAGCGGCGCGCUGGAUCUCUUCUGACGCUGAGGCGCGAAAGCCCAGGGGAGCGGAACGGG